GAAAAAAUUUAAAUUAUAGAUAAGGACGAAAUAGAACAAUCUGUACACAAUUAAAACGUAAAAAAUAGAAAUAGAAUAUCUACUACUAAUAUAUAAAAGUCGAUUACUACCAAAGUUACAAGUUUAUCCUCAGUAGGUUUAAUCACGUUCCACGAUUUAUAUCCAUCAUCGUAAUUACACUAAAAAAAUAUUUAAAAAAAUAUAAAAAGAUACAAGAAAAAAAAAAGAUUAUAUGCUUAAAAAUAGGAAUAAAAAAAUAAAAAAUAAAAGAAAAGAUAAAUACAAUAAAAA
rnacentral:lncRNA from 1 species